UACGUAGGGUGCAAGCGUUGUCCGGAAUUAUUGGGCGUAAAGAGCUCGUAGGCGGUUUGUCGCGUCUGCCGUGAAAGUCCGGGGACCUCAACUCCGGCAUCUGCGGUGGGUACGGGCAGACUAGAGUGAUGUAGGGGAGGACUGGAAUUCCUGGUGUAGCGGUGAAAUGCGCAGAUAUCAGGAGGAACACCGAUGGCGAAGGCAGGUCUCUGGGCAUUAACUGACGCUGAGGAGCGAAAGCAUGGGGAGCGAACAGG
rnacentral:rRNA from 1 species